rnacentral:tRNA from 1 species
GGGAAGUGGUACACUACAAAAUGCAAAUUUGGAAUUAGCAUCGAAUAGGUGCCUCGACU